AUGACGAGUUGGUUGUGGACCAGUGAAUGGUCGCUUAUCUUGCAGUGUGAGAUGACUAACCAUUUAUUAGUUGACUUUGGUCGCCUCUACGCUUCUGCCGCCUCUCCAUGUCGCAACUGGUACAGCCACAAACCGACCUGCAGAGCCUCAGCUUGGUGUUGUGGUAGUCAUCUCCUUCUUCGCGCUCAUUUGGCCAAGCAACAUCUUGAAUAGAGGAAGGAAAUCUAAAUAGUUCCAGCGUCUCUCUGAGAGGACAACAUUUUCACAAAAGCGCAUCUCCUGUGAUUUAAAGGCUCCUGCAAGCUUGUCGUUCGCUGAUAAGUUGACAUAAGUCUCCCUGAUAAUAUGGGAAGAGAUAAAAGGAGCUUUGCCUCUGGGCGUGUCCAGCUCUCACUCCGAAUGAACCCUGUGAAAUUGAGGUUUGUAUUCUUUUGUUGAGGAAAUCAUUGCAGAGCACGGUUUGUAAACAGUGAAAUUGAUCCUGACUUAAUGUAACAAGUUUAUGAGCAAAUUUUUAGUACAAAAAUAAUGAUUUGAACUCUCGGAUUUUUUUCUUUUUUUAAAAAAUCAGUUGCAUGAUUACUGUGGUGCGUAUUUUGUUUAUCCAGUGAUAAGCAAGACCAAGUAAACUCCAAAAUGCGUCCGAUUUCUCAUGCAAAUUGAGCUUUGUAAUUCCUGCAUCACAUGAUUUCACUAGUAAAAUUGGUGCUUCAAAUAGUCGUUCAAGUGAAUUCAUCAGUAUAACCAGUCCAAUAAAUAUAAAUAACAUCAGUCAUAGAUGAUUGAAGACGAUUGAUAAUGGACAAUCUCACUUCAUAAGUUUGAAAGUGUUUUCUUCAUCCUCUGGAAGAUCAUCAGUUUAUCCAAAGUAAUUAUGCCACUAUUCUGAACCAGUAGGUACGUUGUCAAUCAUUUUUCAAUAUAUAAAAAAUUUAUGAGGGGCAAAAUUUAAGUAAAAAUAGUUUUAAAAACUCUUUAAAAAAUGUGAUUUUUCAAAUUAAAAUUUAUGGUAAAAAUUGUUAAAAAACCAGCAUAUUAUUUUUAAGAGUUUUCUCAGUUUUUUUUUCUUUAAAGAAUGAAUCUACUUAAACUUCACCUCUCGUAAAUUUUUACAGUUUUUUCAAGAGUUUUUUUUAUUAAAAUUUACAAGUUUUUAAGAGAUUUUUUACAGUCCCUGCUGAUCCUUUGUUUGCUGUUGUUGCUGAUCCUUGAUUUUAACUAAAGAAUGUUUCAUUUUUCUCUGAAUACCUAAUGUCUUUGUUUUUGUUAUCUUAUUCUAGUCGUACAAGAACAAAGUCAAUUUUAUAUUUAAUCUUCUGAAUUCGAUGAAUUCUUACUAGAUGAAGUCUUGAAGUCUUAAACUUUUGAACUUUUAUGAACACCCCUCUCAAAGAAAAAUUGUCUUUUUUACCAUUUUUCUUAUGUGCCAUUUUGAAAUAUUAUGCAGAGUUUCAAUGCCUCCAACCAAAAUAACUUCCCCUUCCUUCACACAGUAGAAAGGUAAAAAACUUAAUAUCUUAUUUUCAAGUGUCAGUAUUAUCGGUUGUAUUCAGCUGUUACAUAAUUCUAAUGUAUUUAUUCUUUAACUCGUAUUUUUUUAAAGAAAAAAUAAAAUAAAAUAAAAAUAUUUUUGUAUUAGAUAUAUUACUUUCCUCAUUUCUUGUGUUCAACCUUUUUGCUCGGAUGAAUGUUAAGCUUUUUUCUAUUGUAUAUUUUAGACAAAUCAAAAAUACAAAGUGUGAAACAAGCAAGUUGAUUGAAAACUCAGUAAAAGUGGAUUAUAAAAAUUUUGCUUUAUUAUAACAAUAAAUUUCCAUGUUGUUAUCUUUAGCACAAAAUACAGAUAAUUAGGAGUAAGGUACAUUUAUAUAAGAGAUUACAAAACGGCUAUAUAUGGAAUCACAGAAAAAAUCCGAAAUCAUGCAUUGAAAGUGGUCUGACCAAUUUCUCUUCGGAAAAGAGUCCGCGAUGCACAGGAGCACCAAAAUUAUGAGGAAAAAUCAUCACAAUUAAUUUGAAUCCGGCUGAGGAAUGUUAUUGUCGGUGAACUCUGGCAGGUGUAUGUUAUAAAAUUGAAUAAAAGUUAAACUUUAAAAAAUGAAGAAAUUUGAAAACAUCGAGCUCUCAAAUAAACGAUGUACUACAACCGUUUAUCACAAAGGAAAUACAAAAAUAAAUUUGACUUUCCAAUAAAUACUGGAACUGCACCUGAAACCAACUUAAUACUCUUCAGAAAAUCAUUAAGCAUUGUUUAAUUAUCUAUAGAGGUGAAAAUUUUGGCGGUGGGAGCAAUUCAAAAUCUGAAUUCACAGUGAAAUCGUCAGCCGGCAGGAAGUGUAUUCACGCGACGAGAUGCAUACUUACACCUCUGGAUAACUUUGACUGCUCUGAUUUCCUAUGUGAAGAUCGUCUAUGGAUUUCCGAGCAGCUGUCGUAAUUUCUCCGAAGGAUUUUUUUCGUGUUCAUUAGGAUUUCAUCUGUGUUCUUCACCGCUGAGUUUUUCAAAUCCUUCAC
rnacentral:lncRNA from 1 species